UCCACAGUUACCAGGUUUGCCUGACGCUAUUUAGGGAGCUGCUUGCCCCCUCCUCUCCCUUUGCUCUCUCUGCUCUCCUGCCCUCUUCCCCUUUGUCCCUUUUACCCCGCCCCCCUCCUUCCACAUGCUUAUGGCCGGCCUUUACUUCUCCCCUCUUCUACUCUUCUUCUCUCGUUAAACCUUUCCACGUGGAACCAUGUUGGCUUGUUGUGGUCUGGCGGGACACGAGCCGAGAUUUAAACCCCAACAAUUAUGAAUACUUGGGUUACAAGAACAUCAUCACCAUGACCAGCUUUCGGGAGCAGCCAUGAUAGCUGGGGCCGUUCUCUGCAGCAUGACUUCCCAUAUGAUGUGCUCCUGCAGCCACCUUCCUGCCAGCCCAGUACAGGGACACACGUCUUCAGCUGGACAGUGUCUCACUCUAUAAAGAAGGACCAAGACUUGAGCUGGCCACCUCUCCCUUUCCAGAUUCAUGCAUGAUGCCAACCUGGGUUACUACAGAGCGGUGCCAACUUUAACACUACUGGUGGUUCUCAUGUGUGGUACCCAAUUAACCUAAGGAAUACAGAGUGCAGUGCGCAAACUCAGGCAUCAUGAAUCUUUUGACAUCCUGGGAGAGGCCUGCCAGGUUAGCUAGAGUCUGUGUGAGCAUCCAGGCUCCACAUUUGCCGAUUCCAAUUACCAUCUGACUGUGUGUUUAAAGCAGCCCUGUCAACACUGCUUAGAUCUAAAGAUGGAGUUCAGUGAAUUCCUGUUGUUAAAGUCAUCCAGUCUGUGUUGUUCCGCUAUCCAGCCCUAAUAAGUAAAUACAACCAUGAUCAUAUGACUUGAAGAUUAUUCCCAGCACACACCCAUGUACCCACCUUAUCUAUAUCCAUCCAUCGCUGGGCCAGAGAUAUUCCCAAGAGACUAUUGGUCUUGUUGGUUUGGCUAUUCACUUCAAUGUUGUUUUCUAACACACAUGCAUAGACACACAGACACACACACACAGACACACACACACACACACACAGAGAGAGAGAGAGAGAGAGAGAGAGAGAGAGAGAGAGAGAGAGAGAGAGCUCAACCAUAUUCUUUUCUUGUCCCUUCUAGGCCAAGAUUCCACUUUACAUUCUCAGGGGACAUAUUAGGAUCUUUUACUCGUGGAAUUUGAAAAACAUCCAUUAAGUACUUAACUAUAUACCAGACAUGCUAAGUGGUGGAGUUUUAAAAUGUCUACUGUAAUCCUCAUUUUUGAAGCCCUUAGUCUCUGGGGAGGGAGGAUUGAGCAAUUUUAAAGGCUCUGCUGGAGGAAGCCUUAGGGGUGUGGAAGUGGGAAAUGAGUAAUUUUGCCUGAGGGAGCUGGGGAAACCUGGGAGACAAAGGUGAGCUUGAGGCAAUGAGGAGGAGGUUAAAGACAAAGAGGAGGGAAAUUCUGCCUCAAAGAAAUUAAUUCACUCCAAAAUGCAGGCGCAGCAACUUGGAAGUCUGAAGACUUGGGCGAGGAGAAGACUCUCAGCCUGCCUCCUGAAAAUCAUGGCAAGAAAGCGCAAACUCCUCUUCUGGGCUCACACCCGGGUAUUGUGGGUUGGAGUUUCCUUAGGCUCUCUGAACAUCUUUGAAGCAAGAUGUUCUCUACAAACCAGAACCACCCACCCCAUUCCUGUGUGUUGGCUUUUUAAGAGCAAGUGGGGAUCCCAGAUAAGAGCUAGCACUCCCUCAUCUUUCCAGGGCCAGCUUUUCUCUCUGGAGAGCUGGCUGGAAACCAGAGAGGGAGAAAGGAGGUUUAAGCUAAUCCCUCACUUCAGCUCAGGGGAAGGUAGUAUUUUUACUGCCAUCUGUGGGUGCAGAGAUCACUCUGCCCUAACAGUAUCCUGAUGGUACCCUUACGGCUUUCUGUGUGGCCUCUCCAGUAUCUGUGUGUUUUGGCUGAUAAUCUUUGGCCUUCCUAUUUAUAGACUGUUUCUCUGCCAUUCACUUACAGCGUUUCUGUGGCCCAGCGUUCUGUGAGGUCCCAGCUGGCCUAUAGCAUGUAGCAGUCGUUAACACCAGAGCUGCUUUUUACAGCCUUCACCCUACGGUCUGGGUCAGCGCUCUGAGAUGAGUUUAAAACUGUUUGCAUCCAAAUGUAUACAUGUGGAGAGAAGAUGAGAAGGCUCACUUGUGUUAAAGGCCUUUCAAAAUUAAUAUAAAAAUAUAAAAGGACCCUAUUAGACAAAUGAUAAAAUGAUCAUUUUUGUCUUUUCAGGACACAAAAGAGUAAAGAAAUAUUUUGAGAGAGAGCAUUUCCUGAUCUAAACCAACCAAUGUUUAAUCUUAUGAUCCAUAGUAAGACGGCAGAAGUCUGAUAUCCAAGUACGGAACUUCUGCUUCAGUGUUUAGCAUCCGCUGUAACCACUGGCUAGCGUAUCUCCCUAUUCCAUAAUAAUCUGCUCCGCUGCUUUGACAGCCUUAACAAAUAACAGCUUCCAGGAGCUAUAUUUCACAUCCCACAUAAUUUGCUCCUUUUACAGCAGGCAAUUCAGUGGCCUCCAGGAUGCUCGCUGGCCGCUGAGCUCCAGUGGCACAGCUGGUUAGCGCCCGGCCCUUAGGCGGCUCCUUCACUAAACUGCGCAUGUGCCACCACUGUCUGUAUUAGAAUAUUCAUUACCCCAAAAGGAAAUCCGGAACCGUUAGCAUAGCUCUCUAUUUUCACCCGGAGCCUUCCUCUCAAGUCCUAGGCAACUGCUAACCAACUUUCUGUAGCUAUAGCUUGGGCUAUUCUGGCUGUUCCGUGUAAGUACUUAUACAAGACAUGGCCAUUUUGGCUGGGUUCUUUCAUUCUGCCGAAAGUUUUUACAGUUGAUCCAUGUUGUAGCACAUAGCAAUACUUUAGUUCCUUUUAUUACUAAUAAUACUCCAUGACAUGAUUAUAUCACGUCUAUUUAUCCAUUGUCAGUUAGUAGACAUUUGAGUUAUUUCAGUGUUUGAACUGUAUGUAUAAUGCUGGGUAAACUUUUGCAUUGGUGUGCCUUUUCAUGAGUUUCACAUGUCAUUUUGCUGGGUUUUUAACAUUGGACAGGGAUGGCUCCAGACUUCAUAAUUAAUUGGUUAUCAUUGCUCCAUAGACUCAGAUAAAAAGCCUGUCUUGUUGCUAACACUAACCACAUAAUUCAUUUGCCUAGCACAGGAGUUGAGUUAUUGCCCUGGAGAAAAACACUGAUGUAUAUGCUAUGUAGCAUUUCCUGUGAGAUAGAGGCUCCCAUCUUAGAGGGAAACUGGUUAAGACUCAUGAUGUUCUAAAGGAAGAUGAUACGUUGCUUCCUGUAGGGAAGCUCCUUAAAACUCAGGAAGUAAACAACUCAGUAGCUUCAGGAUGUCCCUGAAACUGAUAAUCUCUUCACUCUUCAAGCUUAUGCAAGUAGUAAAGAUUGCUGAGUGAGUGACACUUUCAGACCAGGCAAUCUGCCUAAGAGGCAGAGACCAGUCCAGCUACCCAGGAAGGACAAUCUCCAGCCUGCUGAGCUCCCUGCAGGGUAUUGAGCUUUCAUGUGCUGUCAUCCACUCAGGAGUGAGCUUUGCUACUGCCUCCUUUGAAUCAUUUCUGUUCCUGAAAGUAGCUCCUUCCUUAUUCACACUCCUGUUAGUUACCCCAGUGAACUUACUGGUUCACCAAGUUGGACUUUGGUAUUGCCCAUACUUUUGUGAAGUGGAAGUUUCUGGAUAUGUCAGGUAAUAUAGACUCACAUGCGAGCAGACUCACAUGUUGUUGUGCUAAGGGAAGACCCAUGGGAGCACACAUGCUGUUUGGAAAGAGUCUAAAUAGGACCCAAUGGACAAUGACAGCACACUUGCAAAGCUAGCUUUGCCACACUUUGUUGGUCAUGAGUCUUUAUCUUUGUUGACUUUUGCUUCAUUGAGAGAGACACAGCAGAGAAUUUCUCCUGGCAUCUGGCUGGUCCUGGUCACUAUUACUGACUCUUGUUGAUUUGGCUGAGGCCUGGUGGCUUCCGCUAGUUUAUGCCACUGCUUCUUAUUCAUGCUUGGUAUCCUGACAUUACCGAACUGGACUGCUGGUAUCCUGACAAAUGGAGACUGGAACGCCCUAAGGAACUACAUCCAAUUAAGUCCGCACCCCCUUGUCCUACUUACCAUCUUUUCUCCCCUUCCUUUUCUCCCUUUAGAAGGGAGGUUGAAGCAUUUGAGAGCCUUUAUUAAAAGUAGGUUUUUAAAA